CUGAGAGGAUGACCAGCCACACUGGAACUGAGACACGGUCCAGACUCCUACGGGAGGCAGCAGUGGGGAAUAUUGCACAAUGGGCGCAAGCCUGAUGCAGCCAUGCCGCGUGUAUGAAGAAGGCCUUCGGGUUGUAAAGUACUUUCAGCGGGGAGGAAGGGAGUAAAGUUAAUACCUUUGCUCAUUGACGUUACCCGCAGAAGAAGCACCGGCUAACUCCGUGCCAGCAGCCGCGGUAAUACGGAGGGUGCAAGC
rnacentral:rRNA from 1 species